GCGUCCUUAGUUCAGUUGGUAGAACGGCGGUCUCCAAAACCGCAUGUCGGGGGUUCGAGUCCCUCAGGGCGUG
rnacentral:tRNA from 1 species